AACGAACGCUGGCGGCAGGCCUAACACAUGCAAGUCGGGCGAGGACUUCGGUUCUAGCGGCCGACGGGUGAGUAACGCGUGGGAAUGUGCCCUUCUCUACGGAAUAGCCCUGGGAAACUGGGAGUAAUACCGUAUACGCCCUAUUGGGGAAAGAUUUAUCGGAGAAGAAUCAGCCCGCGUUGGAUUAGGUAGUUGUUGGGGUAAUGGCCUACCAAGCCGACGAUCCAUAGCUGGUUUGAGAGGAUGAUCAGCCACACUGGGACUGAGACACGGCCCAGACUCCUACGGGAGGCAGCAGUGGGGAAUCUUAGACAAUGGGGGCAACCCUGAUCUAGCCAUGCCGCGUGAGUGAUGAAGUCCUUAGGGUUGUAAAGCUCUUUCAGCUGGGAAGAUAAUGACGGUACCAGCAGAAGAAGCCCCGGCUAACUCCGUG
rnacentral:rRNA from 1 species